rnacentral:rRNA from 1 species
UAAAAUCCUGUCAUCCUGAGCGGACCACCUGUUGCGAAGGCGCCACACUAGAACGGAUCCGACGGUCAGGGACGAAGCCUAGGGGCACGAACCGGAUUAGAUACCCGGGUAGUCCUAGGUGUAAACGCUGUGGACUUGGUGUUGGGGAUUCUCCGAGGAUCCUCAGUGCCGAAGCGAAGGUGAUAAGUCCACUGCCUGGGGAGUACGGUCGCAAGGCUGAAACUUAAAGGAAUUGGCGGGGGAGCACCGCAACCUGAGGAUUGUGCGGUUUAAUUGGAUUCAACGCCGGAAAACUCACCAGUGCCGACGGACAAAUGAAAGCCAGUGUAAUGAGCUUGCUGGAUUGUUCGAGAGGUAGUGCAUGGCCGUCGUCAGUUCGUACCGUAAGGCGUUCUGUUAAGUCAGAUAACGAACGAGACCCUCAUCCCUAUUUGCUAAGGUCAGUCCGCUGAUCACAGGACUAUAGGGAGACCGCUGGCGCUAAGUCAGAGGAAGGCGAGGGCAACGGUAGGUCAGUAUGCUCCGAAUGCACUGGGCUACACGCGCAAUACAAAGGACGGGACAAUGGGCCGCUGCGCCGAGAGGCAUGUGGCAAUCUCGAAACCCGUUCGUAGUUCGGAUUGAGGGCUGUAACUCGCCCUCAUGAAGCUGGAUUAGGUAGUAAUCGCGUCUCAAUAAGGCGCGGUGAAUAUGCCCCUGCUCCUUGCACACACCGCCCGUCAAACCAUCUUAGUUGGGGGUGGGUGAGGCUGCCUUUUAGUGGGGUAUUCGAGCCUGCCUUCGACAAGGAGGGUUAAGUCGUAACAAGGUAUCUGUAGGGGAACCUGCAGAUGGAUCACCUCCUGAGAAACUCGGAAA